rnacentral:lncRNA from 1 species
UUUCAUAAUAGACGCUAACGAAUCUAGACAUAUAUAUAUAAAUUAUAUCCAUUCAUCGAUUUUUUAAACAUAUUACCACUCAGGACGCACGCACAUAAACCAUAUCCCUAUAAGCACCUCCGAAGCCUGGUCGGGAUUGACAAACUCACUACAACCUGCCUCGCUGCCGACGAGAAUUGUAGAAAAUUUGCUCUAACAAGGAGUCAAAUCCAGAACCUCAUGUGCAUCUAAGGCUGUCGUAACCAUUAGGCUAUCGGCUG